AGUUGUGGACCACUGUCCAGAGUUGGAGGACUUGCUGAACAUGCGCCCAUUUCUCUCCAUCAUGCAUGCAAAAGCGCAUUCAUGGAUGUGUGAGUUAAAAUGGGGUGGACGCAAUCAAGAAGGAGCUGGAACAACAAUCGGGGAGGAGGUUGAACAGGUUAACAGCUUCCUCUCCCGAGCAGCCAUAUGUUCCAAGUACAUGUCAAAAGCCGACUGUACAAAGGAUCACAGAGGCAUCAAAGGACCUGGAGAAACUCACCACUGAGUUAUCUCUACAGCAAGACACAGU